GUUGGGUAGGGGAGCGUUCUGUAAGCCUGUGAAGGUGGCCUGUGAGGGUUGCUGGAGGUAUCAGAAGUGCGAAUGCUGACAUAAGUAACGAUAAAGCGGGUGAAAAGCCCGCUCGCCGGAAGACCAAGGGUUCCUGUCCAACGUUAAUCGGGGCAGGGUGAGUCGACCCCUAAGGCGAGGCCGAAAGGCGUAGUCGAUGGGAAACGGGUUAAUAUUCCCGUACUUGGUGUUACUGCGAAGGGGGGACGGAGAAGGCUAUGUUGGCCGGGCGACGGUUGUCCCGGUUUAAGCGUGUAGGCUGGUUUUCCAGGCAAAUCCGGAAAAUCAAGGCUGAGGCGUGACGACGAGGCACCACGGUGCUGAAGCAACAAAUGCCCUGCUUCCAGGAAAAGCCUCUAAGCAUCAGGUAACACGAAAUCGUACCCCAAACCGACACAGGUGGUCAGGUAGAGAAUACCAAGGCGCUUGAGAGAACUCGGGUGAAGGAACUAGGCAAAAUGGUGCCGUAACUUCGGGAGAAGGCACGCUGACACGUAGGUGAAGUGAUUUACUCAUGGAGCUGAAGUCAGUCGAAGAUACCAGCUGGCUGCAACUGUUUAUUAAAAACACAGCACUGUGCAAACACGAAAGUGGACGUAUACGGUGUGACGCCUGCCCGGUGCCGGAAGGUUAAUUGAUGGGGUUAUCCUCGCGGAGAAGCUCCUGAUCGAAGCCCCGGUAAACGGCGGCCGUAACUAUAACGGUCCUAAGGUAGCGAAAUUCCUUGUCGGGUAAGUUCCGACCUGCACGAAUGGCGUAAUGAUGGCCAGGCUGUCUCCACCCGAGACUCAGUGAAAUUGAACUCGCUGUGAAGAUGCAGUGUACCCGCGGCAAGACGGAAAGACCCCGUGAACCUUUACUAUAGCUUGACACUGAACAUUGAGCCUUGAUGUGUAGGAUAGGUGGGAGGCUUUGAAGCGUGGACGCCAGUCUGCGUGGAGCCAACCUUGAAAUACCACCCUUUAAUGUUUGAUGUUCUAACGUGGACCCGUUACCCGGGUUGCGGACAGUGUCUGGUGGGUAGUUUGACUGGGGCGGUCUCCUCCCAAAGAGUAACGGAGGAGCACGAAGGUUGGCUAAUCCUGGUCGGACAUCAGGAGGUUAGUGCAAUGGCAUAAGCCAGCUUGACUGCGAGCGUGACGGCGCGAGCAGGUGCGAAAGCAGGUCAUAGUGAUCCGGUGGUUCUGAAUGGAAGGGCCAUCGCUCAACGGAUAAAAGGUACUCCGGGGAUAACAGGCUGAUACCGCCCAAGAGUUCAUAUCGACGGCGGUGUUUGGCACCUCGAUGUCGGCUCAUCACAUCCUGGGGCUGAAGUAGGUCCCAAGGGUAUGGCUGUUCGCCAUUUAAAGUGGUACGCGAGCUGGGUUUAGAACGUCGUGAGACAGUUCGGUCCCUAUCUGCCGUGGGCGCUGGAGAACUGAGGGGGGCUGCUCCUAGUACGAGAGGACCGGAGUGGACGCAUCACUGGUGUUCGGGUUGUCAUGCCAAUGGCACUGCCCGGUAGCUAAAUGCGGAAGAGAUAAGUGCUGAAAGCAUCUAAGCACGAAACUUGCCCCGAGAUGAGUUCUCCCUGAGACCUUGAGUCUCCUGAAGGAACGUUGAAGACGACGACGUUGAUAGGCCGGGUGUGUAAGCGCAGCGAUGCGUUGAGCUAACCGGUACUAAUGAACCGUGAGGCUUAACCUUACAACGCCGAAGCUGUU
rnacentral:rRNA from 1 species